GUGGAACUCCCUUCCCUCCUCAAUCAGACUUUCACCCAGCCUCCACUCCUUCAAAAAAUCUUUGAAAACUCACUUCUUCAUUAAAGUGUAUCAAUUAAACUAGCAGGUUUCUCAUCCCCCACCCCAUGACUCCGUUCCUGCACCUGUCAAAAAUGACCUACCAAGCACUCCAUAAACCCUUCUGUAACAAACUAUUUAAUUCCCCUACUUUAACCCUUUGUGUCACUAUACCCCACUCCCUCUAGCAUGUAAGCUC